rnacentral:rRNA from 1 species
UUCCGUAGGUGAACCUGCGGAAGGAUCAUUAUCGAGUUUUGAAAAGGGUUGUAGCUGGCCUUCGGCAACAAGUCGGAGGCAUGUGCACGCCUGGCUCAUCCACUCUCAAACCCCUGUGCACCUUUUGUAGGCUUCGGCAGAGAGGACUGACUUCGGUCGGUUCAGGAAGCCUUGUGCCUAUGUCACACAUACAAACGCUUCAGUUUAGAAUGUAACGAAUCGUGCGCCUCGGUGCAACGAAAUAAAUACAACUUUCAGCAACGGAUCUCUUGGCUCUCGCAUCGAUGAAGAACGCAGCGAAAUGCGAUAAGUAAUGUGAAUUGCAGAAUAUCAGUGAAUCAUCGAAUCUUUGAACGCACCUUGCGCUCCUUGGUAUUCCGAGGAGCAUGCCUGUUUGAGUGUCAUGAAAUUCUCAACCUUUGAAGCUUUUUUUUGAGCUCGCAAAGGCUUGGACUUGGAGGUCGUGUCGGCUCGUAACAAAGUCGACUCCUCUGAAAUGCAUUAGUGUGAAACCUUCGCAGGAUCGCCUUCGGUGUGAUAAUUGUCUACGCCGUCGGUCGUGAAAGUCGA